GAUUAUAUGAACACAUUCUUAUAAACAUUAGAGAGACCGAUCUGCUCUGCACGGACUCUCUUCUUUUGAAAGAUGAUGGACCUUUCCAUCAAUGACCCACCAAGAAUGGAGAAGGACAGAGACCACUUGGCUGCAAGGAUAUUAGACCUCACCCUGGAGAUCAUCUCCUUGAUAACUGGAGAGGAUUACACAGUAGAGAAGAAGUCGUCUGGUGAGUGUGUGACACCCCGUGUGUCAGG